AAAUUUUUUUUUUUUUUUUUUUUAUUAAAAAAAAAAAUUUCUCGCACAAAGAAUCACACACGCUGAUCACAGUACAACUAACCAUGUUUUCCCAAUAUUUUCGCCUUUUAUGCAUUUGUUGGUGUCAAGGCUGAACCAAUCAGCGUAAGCCAUUCCACAUCUUCCAUCUGAUUGGUGCGUUUAAGCUACCAAAAUUGCUCGACAUUCGAGAACAAGGCCGCAAUAAAAAAUUCGCUGACGAAGCGAGCAGAUGUUAGAUCGCUAACCGUCACUUUUUCGUUCUAUCGUUUAAAAUAUUAUUUCUAGUCACAUUCUCGUUAUUCAAAUUCAUUUAGCAAAAUUUUCAACAGAAGAUGGAUUAUUCGCACAAUCAUCUGUAACAAAAAUACGUGUAAUACAAGAAUACUGUAACACUAGGCUAAUUAUUAGCAGUGUCGGAAAGUUGAGCGCGGCGAUGAGGUCCUUGGAGUGUAGCCUUCCACAGACUCGUAAUGUUCUCUCUUCGUUCGUGGCGGGACUCGUUUGACGACUUACCAAGAAACGAGGUCAAUUGCAUACAAUCUUGACUAAUAAUUCUAAGCGGGUUUAGGAACGAUAGUAGUAAUACCAGUAGCCUAUACGCCUUCAUUAACCGAUUAAUAUCCAACAAAAAGAAAGUAUUGAUGUGCUUACGGAAUUUCAUAAUCAUAUUGGUUCCGAGUCAAUGUAAAAUUUACACAUAUAAUUUACACGUAAUAAACAGAUAACU